ensembl:snRNA U6 U6 spliceosomal RNA
GUGCUUGCUUUGGCAGCACAUAUACUAAAAUCAGAACAAUACAGAGAAGAUUAGCAUGGCUCCUGUGCAAGGAUGACACACAAAUUUGUGAAGCAUUCCAUAUUUUC